AUUGAACGCUGGCGGCAGGCUUAACACAUGCAAGUCGAGCGGGGUGAUGGUGCUUGCACUAUCACUUAGCGGCGGACGGGUGAGUAAUGCUUAGGAAUCUGCCUAUUAGUGGGGGACAACACCUCGAAAGGGAUGCUAAUACCGCAUACGUCCUACGGGAGAAAGCAGGGGAUCACUUGUGACCUUGCGCUAAUAGAUGAGCCUAAGUCGGAUUAGCUAGUUGGUGGGGUAAAGGCCUACCAAGGCGACGAUCUGUAGUGGGUCUGAGAGGAUGAUCCGCCACACUGGGACUGAGACACGGCCCAGACUCCUACGGGAGGCAGCAGUGGGGAAUAUUGGACAAUGGGGGGAACCCUAAUCCAGCCAUGCCGCGUGUGUGAAGAAGGCCUUAUGGUUGUAAAGCACUUUAAGCGAGGAGGAGGCUCUUUUGGUUAAUACCCAAGAUGAGUGGACGUUACUCGCAGAAUAAGCACCGGCUAACUCUGUGCCAGCAGCCGCGGUAA
rnacentral:rRNA from 1 species